GCAGGUUCUCACCAAAUCCAGAAGCGGCGGGCAUUUGAAAUGAUCCAGAAUCUGGUGAUUUAGAAGAGAAGAUUGAACAACCAAGAUGAAAACCCCUGCUUCCUUUACCUGAGUAAACGCGAAAUUAUUUUCUACAAAAAUUACUUAAUAUUGGCAUCCUCCACUCAUGCCUGUAAAAUAAAGAAUUGUAUUCCUAUUGAAGAGCAGCUUCAGUUGGUGUUGGGCAAUGCUGGAUACAAGCAAAUGACUGGACUACAAUGCUCAUCUGCCUUAGGAGCCUUAGACAAGUCAUCCUCCACACCUUUCCCUUUUAGAACUGGAUUGACAUCUGGAAACGUGACUGAAAACUUACAAGCGUACAUUGAUAAAAGCACACAGGCAUCUAGUGGAGAGAAUUCUACAAAGCUUGAUGAGUGUAAAAUUGUGCCACAAAACCAUUCCCUUCUUGAAAAUGAUCUUAAAAAUGCAACAUCCCCUUUCUUACCAAAGAAAGCAAAUGACAACUCAAAUAUACCUAACUCUGAGUUGCUGCCUUUUCUCCAGAAUUUAUGUAGUCAAGUUAACUAUCUCCUUGUGGGACGUAAGGCCGAGUGACAGGAAAACACCACCAAGCCUGAUGAAGGCAUUCUUGGUGUUGGGUAAGUAUUGUUUUAACACAGAUGUAGUUUUGAUUUGGUAGGUGGGAGAAUUAGAUGAAGAGAAAAAGAAGCAGAUUUGUCUCAAUGAGUACUGCCUAAAAUCUGUUUCAAUAGAAAAUUCUAGCAGCUUUUUUUUUUUUUACAGCUUACUAUUAAUAUACUCGUAGGUAAUAACUAUUCUACAGAGAAUAGAUUGUUUUGAAAGAAGUGCCUGUGCCUGUAACUGGAGGUGUUGCACACUUGCCAGGCAUUUUGUGAGUUACAAGCAUAGCUAAUGGUUGAAGUUGAAAGUGAUCCAUACGAAUGGAGAGCAGCUGUGGGAACCAUAAUAUGUAUAUUUUUUUUCCUGAUGGUACCAAAUGAGCCAUCAUAACAGAUUUUCUUUGUAAAUCACAUUUGACCUAGGCUAAUUUUGAAGUCAUCAAAAAAUGUAUUAACAUUCUAAUUAUUUAUAGCAUAUAGGCCCUUAUACCCUGGUCUCAUAAUUCCAAGUUUGUGACAGUCCUGAUUUGAUUGAGGAAUGGCUGAGUAUUUAGUAUGUUCCCCAUUCUUUACAUAGAUAUAGCGUGCUGAAAUAUUGCACUAGGCUAGAAUUCAGGACUCAGUCAGAGACCUGGCUUAACUAUUUUGCCUUACUGGUUAAAUCUUUUGAUUUUUUUUUUCAAUGUGUAAAGUUAGAUAUUUGUAUUGGUUGAGAUUUGUUUAAGGUUUCCAACAGUGUUAAAGUUUUAAGAAUUUAAUUUAUUUAAAUAAAGGUGGUUCUUAGGA
ensembl:lncRNA novel transcript